GUCCAGAUUGUGCGAUAUUAACUCACAAUUGUAAUAAUAUAAAGUCCAGAUUGUGCGAUAUUAACUCACAAUUGUAAUAAAUAUAAAGUCCAGAUUGUGCGAUAUUAACUCACAAUUGUAAUAAAUAUAAAAUUGUGCGAUAUUAACUCUCAAUUGUAAUAAAUAUAAAGUCCAGAUUGUGCGAUAUUAAAGUGCAGUUGUAAGAUAUCAAGUUGUAAUUAGCUAUGUUUCAUUCCAAGUUGCAAAUUUAACUUUAACUAGUGAAAAAUUGGAAUAUCACAUAAAACAUUUGUGAGUAAAGCACCAAAAUCUUCACCUCGGGGGAAACUGGUGCGUCUCGCUCUCUGCCAUUUUUACUUUUCUUGAUCCAAUUAUCCAAUCACAUGAUGUGUUUAUGCAAAGUCACAUAACUUUUUUUUUUUUUGAUGUACAUCAAAGAAUUUACUCAGUACGUGUGUUUCCAUCGUAGUUUAUGUGCAUGUCUUCUUUUCGACUAAAAAAAAAAAACAUCUGCCUCAAUUGAGUUUACAAGUUUAUGCGCACUUUGGAGAUUUUAUUCGCAUCUGGUGUUUCCAUCCAGCGUUUGAAAACGUCUUUAUGCGAUAUCCGAAAAUUCAUGUAAGAAUAUGUGUAUGACACAUAGCUAAUGUCUGCUUAUUAAGUUGCAGUUGUGAGAUAUAAAGAAAUCAAGUCUAGUUGCAAGAUAUAAAGUCGCAAUCGUGUUAUUAACUCGCGGUUGUGAGAGUAAGAUAUGAAGUCUAGUCGCGAGAUAUCAAGUCGCGUGGUAUUAACAAGUGAUUCUGAGAUAAGUCGCAAUUGUGAAAUAUUAACUCUCAGUCGCGAGAUAAAAAUUCCAGUUGUGUGAUAUUUACUGUGAUUGCGAGAUAUUGCGUUACGCAGCACGAAGUUGAUACGUUUAUACCGCGAGAGGCCGAAACAUUUCUAUGUUUCUAUGACACACCCCCCCCCCCCCCCUUUUACACAAGGCUCACUGAAUGGUUUGAUGAGGACGAAAGUGAUGUAAAUGAGAUGCUACGGCCUUCACAAUGAUCGCAUCUCUACCCAGAUUUACCUCUGAGAGUCCAGGAACGGAAACGAGCAGUUUAGUCGUUAUUUAGUCAUCGUGACAUCGUUUCCUGUUUCCCAGGUCGUGUCUGCUGCCAGUAAUUUGAUUGUGGCUCAUAAAGAGCUGACGACAUGUCCGUGAGCGUCGGGACACGUGAAAGGAGAGGAGACGUAAUCUGCUAACACAUUUCCAUGCGUAUUGCACUAAUGAUUUCGUCAGGUUAAGGGUGUGUGUGCAGGGUGGGUGUGUGUGUGUACGUGUGCGUGUGUGUGUAGCAGAGUUCUUUCUUCCUGCUAUCUCAUCUUCAGAGCUCUAUGUUUCGAGCCCCUCUCGGCAAAAUGAUAGAGUGAUGACGCUGACCUCUGUGCAGGUGCAUGACCUGCUAUAAUUACAUGUCUCACUGACACGUGAAAUGAUCUCUCCGUGUCUAUCUGUCUAUCUCUCCGUGUCUCUGUCUAUCUCUGUCUGUCUCUCUCACUGUGUAGUAUAUUUCAAUAUCUGUUUCAUUCCCUCUUUAUCUCACUUUUCUCUCUUUGUCUCUGAUUUUUUUUCCGUCUCACUGGUUGUCUCUGUUUCUCAGCCUGUCUGUCUCUCUCUGUUCCUGGUCCUGUGUCUUUCUCUCUUUCACUCUCUGUAUGUUCCGUCUUUCUCUAUGUGUAUCUAUCUCUCUGUCUAUAUGUCAGUCUGUCACACUGUGUGUGUGUGUGUGUGUUGUGUGUAUGUAUGUGUGUGUAUGUAUGUAUGUAUGUAUGUAUGUAUGUAUAUGUGUGUGUAGUGUAUGUCUAUAUAUGUCUGUCUGUCUCUCUCUUUGUGUCUCUCUAUUUCAUGCUUUGUCUCUCUCUCUCUCUGAUUCUCUUCUCUCCUCGGUCUCUCUCUCUCUCUCUCUCCCUUUCUCUGUCUUUCACUUUUCUCCAUCUCACUCUGUCUUUUCUGUCGUUUCUGUUUCUCUUUUUCUCUCUCUCUCUAUCCCACUCGUCUCUGUUCUCUCUGUCUGUGUCUCUGUCCCUCUCCUUCUGUCCUCUCUCACUUUCUCUGUCUCUCUCUCACUUUUGUCUGUCUCACUGUUUGUCUCCGUCUUUCUCUCUUGGAUUUUGUUUCUCUCUCUCUCUCUCUCUCUCUCUCUCUCUCU
ensembl:lncRNA